GGACCCGUAGCUCAGCGGUAGAGCGUGUGAUUCCAGAAAUGGAAUAUAACCUUCCUAAAAAGGAGCUUCCACAAGGUCAUCCGUUCAAUCCGGGUCGGGUUCA
rfam:Fomitiporia mediterranea MF3/22 unplaced genomic scaffold FOMMEscaffold_5, whole genome shotgun sequence.